rnacentral:misc_RNA from 1 species
AAGUCGUAACAAGGUUUCCGUAGGUGAACCUGCGGAAGGAUCAUUAACACGUAUCCAACGUUAAACCCCCCUGUGAACUUUUACACUUGCUCUCGAAGCUCGCCGGAAUUGCAAUCCCUGGUAAAUCAUUGUUGAACAGAUUUGAUUCAGGGACCUCAGUUUGGUGAGUUAGAUCCGAGCGAUCGUUGCAAGUGGCCUGGUUUCCCCAAGCAGUCAGUGUCUGAAAGUGUCAUUGAUUGUGUAAGGAUAACGCUUUUCGAUCACUAGAGGCCGACACCGGCCGGUGACCAGGUCCAAAACGAACAACUGUUAACAAUGGAUAUCUUGGUUCUC